ACUAGGAUAGACAACCAUGCACUGGGCUUUGGGAGAGAAAAACAAAAAAAGAUCUAAAUAAGAUCAAUUCAAAACCCUGCUCUGCAUCCUACGGAAGAUCCAGGGUCAUCAGCAAAUGUUAAAAAAAAAAAAAAUGAGUUUUUAAAAAACGGAUUAAAAAGCCCCAAACUCAGCUGUAGGGAUCAGGAAGAGCAUCGAGGAAGUGGUGUUAGACAGGUGGGCCUUGAAGGGUGGGCAAGGUGAGGACGGAGGAUUAGGAGGGGCAGAGGGUCAGGAGGCAGCAUCCGGGGUGAGGGGCGGGGAGAACAGAAUGACGUCCAAGAGCUUGGGCGUUGGGCUCAGUGGGGCCUGGGUCCCCCACUGUGAGCUGGGACUGUCCUGCUGAACGAAACUGCAGUGGGCUCCUGCUCCCCCCUCUCCAGACCUGUGACCUUGGGAAUUCAUCGAACUUUCUCACACGUGUGAAAGGAGCAUGAUAAAAACCUCUAGCUCGCUGUGCUGUCCCCAGGAGGAACUAAGACGAUGCGUGUGAAGAGGGGAGGACUCGGGACCCACGUGGCUUCUCAGUGACCGUUCAUCCAUUCAUUCAUUCAGCACGUGGUGUUUGGGCCCCUGCUGUGCCAGGCCCUGUGCGUUUCACAGCAGUGAACAAAACCAACGGAAAUCCCUCCCUCGUCGAGCUUACGUUAUAGUGUGGGGGGGGGGCGGGAUGGAAAAUAUGAGAGAUAAAAGAACUACAGUUAGGCAGUGAUAAAGUGAGUGAGUUAGGCAGUGACAAGUGUGAUAAGGACAAAUAAAGCAGGGAUAGAGAUGUAUCCGGGUGCCACAGAGGGGAAGAGGUGUUACAAUUGGUUAUCAUUUAGUUUGGGUGGGAAACAGGUUAUAUGAUUUGCGGAGAGUAGAAGGACAAUGUUUCUGUGAUUAAGUUGGAUCUUCGAGCGGUGAGGUGGCUUGAACUGUGCUUCGGGGAGGUAAGGUGGCUGCCCCUGAUUCCAGGGUCAAAGGGGCCAGGCAGCAGGGAGGCACCAGCAAUGGGAAAGGAGAGCGAAGGCGACUGGGAACCAGCCAGCGGAGGAGGAGGCCUCAGAUCGGAGCUGGCAGAGCAAGUGGAUCUUGGUCCCGUGGCGAUUCUCAGGAACAGACGGCUAGAAACAGAUUCGAUCAGUGAAAGCUGUUUCCAGAGAGGACGCGCCAUCGCUUUGGUGACAAAGCAUGUGUCACUGGAUGUGUGGACACGACCUUGUCUCGUUCAGCCGGUGCAGGGAGGGGAGAACGUGGAGCUGAGCUAUACUGGAAAGAGGUGGAGGUGUGUGAAAGGGAACAGAGAGGAGGGCAGCCCCGUCCUGGGCUGGGACCGCGUGGCCUUCCUGCAGUGGCUGCAGAGUGGAAAGGACAGGCAGCAGACAUAAAUCAAAACCUUGCAUCUGCUGCUACUGAGCUGUGUGUCCCUGGGCAAAUUAUGUAAACUCUCUGAGCAUUUGUGAAAUGGGGAUUAUGAUCCUCCCAGGGCUGUUAUGAUUAAAUGGGUUGAGUAGGGUGAAGCUGGCCAGAAACAGCAAACCCAGGCUGGAGACAGGCACAGAGAGCUCCCGCCCCAGGGCUUUCCUGGCCGAGGGCACUGGGGCAUUGUGACAGGGCGUAGACCACACUGUUUCGGGUGUCUUGCUUUUUCGUCUAUGUGGACAUUUCUAUCGUCUUUGCAACUGCCCUGACCAUCCAGCUCAGGCGUCCCUCCCCAGGGAGUUCUGCCUGACUGUCCUUGUAUGCCCCGUGCUUGCCAGUCAUGACUCCAGUGUGUGACGUUCUGCUGUUGACAUUCACCCACUGUCUGUCGUGCCCUCCAGGGUGGGGGUCAGGACCGCUUCAAUAUCUCCAGUUCUGGCCUGAGCACAGGACCGAGGCAUUCAGCAAACGCUGUCCAAAUGAAAGGCAAAAAACACCCAAAAAACAAAAUCCCAUAGUUCUUGUCCUCAAGCCACUCAGGGUAGCAGAGGAGACAGACAUGAUGUCAAUUUCAGCCAUUUGCUGAGUUCCUACUCUGGGCCAGCCUGUGUCAGCCACACAUGCCCCGCCCUUCCCCCCAAGACCCCACUGUAGGUCUAAUCUCUCUACAGCGCUGGGAGGGUUCUGGAGGUGCUGUAAGAGCAGAGGCAGACUGUGCCUCAGGGAUGGCUCAGAGGAGGUCACAGCUGAGCCAAGUCUUGAAGGGAUGAUGGAAGUUCACCAGGAGACUGGAAUUCCAGGCAGAGGGAACAACAUAUGCAAAGUUACAGAGGCAUGAAAGAAUGUGAAUGCAAAAUGUGACUUGGUUUUCUGAAAGCUAACUCUGGCCAGGUGAGGAGGCUGGAUGGAUGGAAGGGAGCCAAGUCAAGGGGUGAGCAGUGGUGGGUACAAGGUCCCAGGGCAUUCUCCACACAGUGUACCCCUGCUGGCUUUCCCAUCUGCUCCAGCCUCAGGCCUCUCCUCCCUACCCCUUCAGCUCCCUUCAGAGGUCCAGAAUUUUCUGUCUUGCUGUUAGAUUACGUCCAGCUGCAACCAAUUUCUGAUCGUGGACUGGAUGUAAGACUCCAGGCCCUGUGGUCCGAAGACUGAAGGUUGACCUACCUGAGCUUCUGGAAAAUGGGUACUCUCAGGAGCUCCGCCUGCCUCAGAGGAACAUUGCAAAUGACAGGACUCCGCUGGAGGCACUGGGGAUUUGGUGGUGAAGAAGACGCACAAGAUUUCUACCUUCACGGAGUUUGCAUUCUGACGGGGAAGGCAAUAAACCAGCACAAUGAAUCAUUUUAAUUUCUGACGAUAACAAGUGCUAUGGAGAGAAAAGGCUGGGGACGGGGGCGGCGCCUAGGGGGACGGUGCUGCUUCAGAUUCGGUGGCUGGGGGCAGGCUGGCUGUGCUGUGGCAUCUAAGCAGAGGGCUUGGGGAUGGUUAGGAGCACAGCAGAUCUGAGACGAUCGGGGAGACAGGUCUUCCAGGCAGGGGAACGGCAAAUAUGAAGGUCCCAGAGUGGGAACAUGCUUGGAAUGUGUGAGGGCCAGCAAGGAAGCCAGUUUGGUCGGAGCGGAGUGAGUGAGGAGGACAAUGGUAGGGGGUAGGGAGGCAGGCCAUGGGAAGAACUGUGGAUUUUAUGCCAAGAAUAACAGGAAGAUGCUGGAGGGCUUUUGAUAUAGGAAGAUGUAUUAGAGUUUUCCAGAGAAACAGAACCAAUAGGAUAUAUAGAGAUACAUAGAAAGAGGUUUAUUGUGAGGGACUGACUCAUGCAGUUAUGUAGACUGAGGAGUUCCAGGAUCUGCCAUCUGCAAGCUGGAGGCCCAGGAAAGCAGGUGAUAGAAUUCAGUCCUAGUGCGAAGGCCUGGGAAUCAAAAGCACUGAUGUCCGAGGGCAGAAGGUGAAUGUCCCAGCUCAAGAAGAGAGAGUGAAUUCGCCCUUCCUCUGCCUUUCUGUUCUCUUCAGUCCCUCGCCGGUUUGGAUGAUGCCCGCCCACACCCUACCCCCCAGUGUGAUGGCAUUAGGAGGUGGCGCCUUUGGAAAGUGAUCAGGAUUAGGUGAGGUCAUGACGGAAGGGCCCCGGUGAAUGGGAUUAGUGCUGUUUUUAGAGUCAGGAGAGAGCUUCUUUCCUGUCCCUGUCAUGUGAGGAUACAGUGAGGAGUCGGCAGUCUCCCAACCAGAAAAGGGCUCUCACCAGAACCCAACUGUACCGACCUCCUAAUCUUGGACUUCCAGCCUCCAGAACUGCGUGAAUAAAUUUCUGUUGUUGGUAAGCCACAGGCUAUGGUAUUUUUGUUACAGCAACCAACCCUAAUGGGUUAAGACACCUGGGCAGCUGUAGGGCUUGGAGACAGAAACUUGGUAGUCUUCAGUGUGUAGAUGAUAUUAAAAGCCAUGGUCUGGAUGAGACCAUUUAGGGGAAGAAUAAAGAGGAGGCAGCAGGGAGAUCUGAGUGGUCACCGAGCCAGAGGAAACCUGGAAGGAUGUCUGGGAACCAAGGAAAGAAAGGAUUCCAACAGAUAGAGAGUGACCAACUGAAUUAGAUGUUGCUACAAGGCCAAGUAAGAUGGGUGCUGGGAGCUGAACCCCUGACUUGGGAUGACUAAGGGCUGUGCUGACUUUUGACAAGAGUGAUUUUGGUGGGAGGUAUGAACAAAAGCUUGACUGGAGAGAAUGGCAGGUGAUGGCAGGGACUACUGACUGUUUAUUUCAGAUGUUCUGCUCCAAGGGGAAGCUGAGAAAUAAAGGGUGGGAGCUGGAGGGACUGUGAGGUCAAAGGUGGUUCUCAUUUUUGAAGGUGGGAAAUACCACAGCACGCUUCCAUGCGGAUGGGCAUGAGCCAGACGAGAGAGCCAUUGAUGGUGCAGGAAAGAGUGGGGAGAGUUGCUGAGUCCCUGCACAGGCACUGGGGAACAGGGCCAGCUGGGAGUGUGACUGUCCAUCCUCGGGGACAGGAGGGAAGGCGGAGUGCAGGGUACAUGUGUGAGUGGUUGGUAGAUGUGGUCUUGGGAGGAGGGUAGUUCUCUACCAAACAGCUCUUCUCUUUGAAAGAAUAAUGUCUCUGUCUAUUGCCUCUUCCCUGAGAGCUUCUCUCCUCUUCCUCAAUGGCCUGUUGGGGAUCCCAAAAGGCGGGGUGCAUUUUUUUAUAAAGAGAAAGUUGCUUCCCCACUCCUUUCCUCUCCAUCCCAUCACUUUUCUGUCCCUUGGACUCAGCUGGGGACCUAAAACACGUUUCUGUUAACACACCUGUCUUUUUCUCAUUGUUCUUCAUAGAGUUGUAGACUGGCAGAGCUGGAGGGACCUCCGAGGCCACCCAGCCAGUUCCACCCCUUUAUUUUUACAGAUGAGGAGUCGUGGCUCUGAGAGACCAAGUGACUCUCGCCAGCCAGGACUUUGAUAUGAACACCACUAUUGCUGAGUUCAGCCAUAAUCGCAACACCAGCCGAUGGCUGGACGUACACCUGGAAUGACGUCAUUGCUCUGUUGCUGAUGCUGCACUCUUGCCCUACCUGUACCUGGCAUGUUCUCUAUGCUACUUAGCCCAGCAUCAGUGAACCAGUCCCGGACGAGGCCUAUAUUACAGAUCUCACAGAUCAGACCGUGGAUGUCAUGCUAGCCACUGCAGCCCCAGACCUGGGGGGGAUGGGAAACUACUCCCGGCUUUCCUUUGCAGAUAUUUACAUUCUGCAAGUGAAAACCCUGAGGAACUGAGGAACAGAACAUAUUGCUCAAGGUCACAGAACAACUACUGGUGGACACCUGCUAUCUCGAUGGCUACAGCAACAGGCCCUGAGAAGGCAGCAGAUGCUGUAAUUCCUAGUUGGCAAUGGUAAACUGAGGCACAGAAGAGGAAAGCGGCCUCUUCAGCUGCCCUGUGGGGGCACCAGGCAGGAGGACUCAGUCUUUCCGUGGUUGCCUUGUGUUGACUGUAGUUGUCCCUUGGUGAUUCUUAAAGGAUUUUUAAAGGUAAAUAGAAAAUGAUGAUAGAAGACUCUGCCCAUCAGUUUGGCUAGCUUUUUCUUUUUCUUUCUUAUUUCUCAUCCAUUACUAGAAGAAGGUAUUAGCCAUUCCAUUUUGGUUUUAUCAGGCCUGUGUGUCCCUUGGAGCUGCCCUUGCAAGCCGCCGGAGAGGUGGGAGCAUCCACAGGUUUGCAUUUCUGUCCUGCAGAGGAAGGUUUGAUCACCAAGGCUGCUCUGUGGCCUGUUGUUUAGUUUCCUUCUCUCAGACUUCCCAGCAAAGAAUGGGUGGCGAUGGUGUUGGCAGAUCCGGCUGGCCCUGCCAGGUUUGGGUCUUCAGGCUGUUCUCUCUCCUGGGCACAGGGCUGCCCCUGGGCGGUGCUAACCGCAGCCCCUGCAGAGAGGCACAGGGAGCAGCAGCCGGCCCCCAGCCCAGGGCUGUGUUCUAAGCGUCUGGUUCCACUUCAGGCAUCGAUCUCUCUGCAAAUACAUAAUGCACAGCACCAACCACCUCUGAGCCCUUCUGCCCGAUCCUGAGAAAGGGGGAACAGAUAGAGGUUUUGGCUACACCAAGUAAGAAUAAAGCGAGGCAGUGAGGGAGGCCAAGAGAAGAUUUCGUGAAGCCAGUCGUUCCGUUCUAGCCAUGAGAACCCCAGAUGAGACUUUUACAAGAAGAAGCUGCCCCGCAGAAGCCGGGCAACAGAGCGUCCAUUCCCAGGGAGAGCUUCUGAGCUCCCCAAAGCCCAGAGCCAUUUACUCUCCCCAGGAAAGUUUCCUGCCACAAAAGCCAGCCACUUCUGCAGCGUGACCUCCAAAAUGACAGCUGGGGUGGCAGUCACAAGGAUCUUGUCCUGACUCAUCCCCAGCAGAUGCCCUGUUGAUCCCAUUGAUAAAAGCUCGCAGCCACCGCCGCCACUGUGCGCCUGGGCAGCCAGCCAAGCAGGGCUUCAUUCACUGACAGGCGGCCGGGCCGGGGGGAGUGGGGUAGGGAGGUGCAGGGGGACACAGGCCAGGGAGCAGCUGAGCAGAGGCCCCGGUCUGGCCCAGGACUAAGUGAGCCAGGGGCAUCGGCCAAGGGGUGGCCACCUGCAGGUUGGGGCUCCGCAGGACGGGAAGUAGCCCAACUCCUGAAGGCCACAGGUCUGCUCAAGAAUCCAAGAGUAACCCAGACAGGGUACCCCCGCCCAUGGCUUCCUGGGCCUGCAAAAGGCCUCUGGGAACGACUGGAUCAGUUCUUCCCAAACCUUGGGGCUCGUGAGAAUCACCUGGGGUGCUUGUAAAAUACAGAUUUCCAAGUCCCACUUGGAAAACGCGCCCUUGAGGAGUUGGCCCCAGGAAUCUGUAUCUUUAACACAUUCUCCAGAUGUUUCUCAGGGUCCGUGCAGUCCUGGCCUGGCCUUUGGGGACCACUGUAGAGGCUGCACCCUCUUCCAGGUGCCAAGGCAGGACUCAAGUCGAAGCCAUCUAGGAAACUUGCCGGACUCUACAGCUGCUCAUGGGCAUAGACUUUUGGGACCUACAGAUCCUUUCAGUUUCGAUCCUGCAACCAUCUCGUUGUGGGUGUGGUAGGAAAAUUGUACAGUGCACCCCUGGCCCAAGAAGGUACUGCCCUGUCACUCUCGAUCCUAUUGCUACCAAACCCGAAGCGAGGUCCCUCACCUGCCCGCAGCAAGCCAAGCUGUGACACCUGGUGUCGUGGAAGAAAGCAGGAAUUUUACUGCAAGGUGCUGAGCAAGGAGAACGGGCAGCUAACGCUGUCAUGCCAAACUCCCCGAAAAGCUACAAGCAAGGGUUUUUAUUUAGGGCUUUAGGUAGGGGAGGGGAAGCAUGUGGCCUUGGGGGCUGAAGUUUUAGAAGUCCUCUUUGCAGGCACGACUUUCACAUUUCUUCACCGGCCGCACAUGCAAAUUUGGCGGUGUGUGUGGGGGGCGGUGUGUGUGUUACAUGUGGUGGAUUUUUGGUCUGUGAUGUCUAAGUUUACAGUCAGUCCUUGUAGCUUCUCAGUGCUCCCGCGAGAUGCUGGGUCAGGUGGGGGCUGUCAGCUGUCCACCUGCUGUUCUGCAAGGCGAGCUCAGGAACUUUGAUACUUGGUUUCCACAUCAUCCUUGUUGGUAGGAGGCUCCGUUUCACCUGAAUCCAGGGAAAUUUCAACUCUUUCGUUCUGGGUUUCACUAUUACCUGGUGUUAAUAUAUAUGUGGCCCUUAUCACUCUCUGAAACACUUUAUUACUUGCUUACUGGUUAGUUGUCUAUCUCCUGCCGUUGAAACUGUGUUUCCACAAAAGCAGGGGCCUCUUCUGUGCUGCUGACUGCUGUCUGCCUAAGACCCAGAAACGAGCUGGCAUGUCCCUGGGCCUCUAUCCCUGCUUGUGUGUUGGAUUUGGUUUACAAGAUACAAGAGGCUCUCCAGAAAUCUCCCAGAGCUGCCUGGGUUUUCAGGGAAGCACCGGCACUCGCUGUCCCUCUGCCCCUCUUUAGCGAGAGCAGGCGGGGGUCCCUCCAGAGGCCAGGGCAUUUCAGCUCCUCCCAGUGACAGGGCGUCCCACAGGGCCUGGGGGGUGGCUUUUAUUUGUUUAGUUGGUUGUUUUUUAAAUGAGUCUCCCUGCAAAAUGUUAUGUAUAUCUUACUCAAGUCUUGACUCGAUGGCAUUCCUGGAACAAAGAGACGUUCUUUAGGCCCUACCCACGAUCCACACCUCCACUCGCUGAACGUCGAUAGUCACGUGGAGAGAGCUCUGCGUGGGCUUCUGCAAGUCUGAAACCAUCUCGUCACCGGGCGCAGAGGUGCUGGUGGGCGGGGAGUGAGAGGGGGGGGAGGCCGCCACGGAGAUGGGAGAUGGUGGUCUCCCUUCCCGCCAGGGAGAACCCAACUUCCUUUCUGCCUGAUGUGCUCUCAACAGCCUGUUUUGCAGAACCACAGGCAAAGUUGAAAAUAAAGACAGAAUACCGGUUGCUAAUGGGGUGUUAGGAGCAACUGAGAAGGUUCCAAGUUCAGCCCUACAGUCCACGUAGGCGCUAGAUUUCCACGUGGCUGAGUGUCGCUGGAGCAACACGUGGCAUGCGGCUACUGCUUUGCCUGAGUGUGGGGUGUGUGUGUGUGUAUGUGUGUGUGUGUGUGUGUGUAUGAGAGAGAGAGAGACAGUCCCGUUGUCAUCACUGGGUUGUGGAAGAGGCGGUGCUGUUCCAUGCAGGAGUCAGGAGAACCCAGGCUUGGGGUCCAGGCCGCCCUCUGAGAACCUUCUGAGGAAGGCGUUAAACCUCUCCAAGCUCAGGGUCCCAUCGGUACAGCUGGGACUUGCCCGCCAGUCAUGGGGGUGUUGUGAGGAAUAACAGAAAAGUAUUCACUUAGCAGAGUUCCUGGGACCACGUAACUCUGUUUUUGCUCUUGCUAUGGCUAUCAUUUGGGUGUGUGUGUGUGUGUGUGUGUGUGUGUGGUAAAAUAUACAUAAAGUCACCAUGUUAAACAUGUUUAACUGCACAGUUCAGUGGCAUUGAGUACAUUCACAUUGUUGUACAAACAUCACUACCAUCCAUCUCCAGAACUUUUCAUUUUCCCAAACUGAAAUUCUGUCCCAAUUAAACAAUUCCCCAGUGCCCUCUGCCCCCAGCCCCUGGCAACCCCCAUUCUCCCUUCUGUCUCUAUGAAUGUGACUACUCUACGUACCUCAUAUAAGUGAAUCGUACAGAGUUUGUCCUUUCGUGCCUGUUUUAUUUCACUGAGCAUAAUGACCUCGAGGUUCAUCCAUGUUGAAAUGUGUCAGAAUUUCCUCCCUUUUUAAGGC